rnacentral:rRNA from 1 species
CCCUUAGACGUUCUGGGCCGCACGCGCGCUACACUGACCAGUGCAACAAGCAUCCGUCCUUGGCCGACAGGCUCGGGCAAUCUUUGAACGCUGGUCGUGAUGGGGAUAGACUUUUGCAAUUUUUGGUCUUCAACGAGGAAUUCCUAGUAAACGCAAGUCAUCAACUUGCAUUGAUUACGUCCCUGCCCUUUGUACACACCGCCCGUCGCACCUACCGAUUGAAUGGUCCGGUGAAGCCUCCGGAUUGGCGCGCACCUCGGUGCAGCCGAGAAGUUGGCUAAACCUUACCAUUUAGAGGAAGGUGAAGUCGUAACA